ACGGUGGCCCUGAGAGGUCAAACACAGUACAACGAGCAAACAGAAAUAUGCUGCAAACGCACACUGAACACAGCUGAAGUGUUUCUGGGGACGAGAUAACGGGACGGACCAGCUGCAGAAGUGACAGAAAACGUGAAGGAUGGCAGCGACACACUUUAAUGAAGCGGCGUUGUCUUUGAAUCACAUGAUUCUCGUGGGUCAGGCUGUCAAACUGAUCUUAUAGGUUAGAAUGAAGAAUGAAACUGAGGCAGCCACAUGAUGGACAGAAGUUUCAGGUGGAGGAAGAACAGCAGGCUGCUCUGCUGCUGCUCAUUACACAGAUCGGAGAUUCUGAAGAGCUUUUAUGAACGGUACAACUGCAGAAGUCAGAGGACACUUUCAGACCCGGCCCUGUGGGACGUGAACAUCUGUACAAUAUUCAAACCAAGCUGCUGACGGAGCUCAGCUGGAAACCCUGCGACCCAGCCCGGCGCUGCACAGGACGAGAAAUGGAGCCUUUGUGGCUGUUUUACAUAGAA